UACGAAGGGGGCUAGCGUUGCUCGGAAUCACUGGGCUUAAAGGCGCGUAGGCGGGUGCUCAAGUCCGGGGUGAAAUCCUCCAGCUCAACUGGAGAACUGCCUCGGAUACUGGGUGCCUCGAGGUGGUAGGGGUAUGCGGAACUAUCGGUGGAGCGGUGAAAUGCGUUGAUAUCGAUAGGAACUCCGGUGGCGAAGGCGGCAUACUGGACCACAUCUGACGCUGAGGCGCGAAAGCCAGGGAGCAAACGGG
rnacentral:rRNA from 1 species